GCCUUCGUGGUAUAGUGGUCAGCACGCUCGACGCGUAACCGAGAGGUCCGUGGUUCGAUUCCCGGCGAAGGCU
rnacentral:tRNA from 1 species